rnacentral:rRNA from 1 species
UACAGAGGUGGCAAGCGUUGUUCGGAAUUACUGGGCGUAAAGGGCGCGUAGGCGGUUGCCUAAGUCGGACGUGAAAUCCCCAAGCUUAACUUGGGAACUGCAUCUGAUACUGGGUGACUUGAGUUCGGGAGAGGAAUGUGGAAUUCCAGGUGUAGCGGUGAAAUGCGUAGAUAUCUGGAGGAACACCGGUGGCGAAGGCGGCAUUCUGGACCGAAACUGACGCUGAGGCGCGAAAGCGUGGGGAGCAAACAGG